CUUCCUUGCUGCCAGCCGUCCUGGUGGCAUAAACCGGGCCACAGAGUAGGGGGAGGCUUUCGCAACCCCGUCAGCUGGGGCAGCUCUGAUUCCGCCCCUUCGAUGGCUGUCUCCCAGACACCCCGCGCAGAGAGGCUGCGCAGCAGGGGCUCCUGCCUUCACCCCCUGCUCUCUCUUGCAAGGAAAGGCUUAAACCGCCAGCGCCCCAGACCCUUCUGGCUUCCUGGGGGCAGAUCGUGGGCCCGGCCUGGGUAGCGCUGUUUUAGGAUGACGGAGAUGGGGAUGAGGCUCUUGCUGCUGGACUGGGGCCUCGGGGGGAUCCGGCGAUGGGAAUGGCCGAGGCCGGGGGCGGGGGGGGGCCGGGGAAGUUGGGGUGACCCGCCCGGCGGGGCUUCCGGCUCCCGAAGCGGCUCCCGUCGGCUUCCCUCUCCUGCAGGCGCGGGCGCAGCGCUUGCAGCCCUCCUUUUUCCGCCAGCCAGGUCGUUGGCGAGUUAGACCUCCCAGCCUCACGGGGCUGCUGUGCGGCUGCGGCGACGCUGGCGACUGCGGCGCUGCGGCGGAGACGGAGGGCUCGGGAGGCGGCGCCACGGACUGGUGACUGCGGCUGGAAGUGCCCAUGACAGAGCUGGCGUCCUCGGGGGGCGGGUCCCCUGCGGGGGACGGGGAGGAGGGUCUGGGGGACGAGCGAGGCCUGGUCAUCCACCACCCCGCGGAGGAGCAGCCUCACCGCUGCCCACUGUGCGGCCAGACCUUCUCGCAGCAGCCCAGCCUGGUGCGCCACCAGAAGGCACACGCUGGGGUGGGCCGCGCGGCCGCCUUCGUGUGUCCCGAGUGCGGCAAGGCCUUCAGCGUCAAGCACAACCUGGAGGUGCACCAGCGCACGCACACCGGCGAACGGCCCUUCCCCUGCCCGGAGUGUGGCCGCUGCUUCAGCCUCAAGCAGAACCUGCUCACGCACCAGCGCAUCCACAGCGGCGAGAAGCCGCACCAGUGCGCGCAGUGCGGCCGCUGCUUCCGCGAGCCGCGCUUCCUGCUCAACCACCAGCGCACCCACGCGCGCAUGCCCGCACCGCACCCGCGCCGCCCCGGCGUGUUCGGGGAGCGUCGGCCCUACUUCUGUGCCCGAUGCGGCAAGAGCUUCGCGCGCGAGGGCUCGCUCAAGACCCACCAGCGCAGCCACGGCCACGGGCCCGAGGGCCAGGCGGCCCAUUUAGGCCGCGUGCUAUGAUGCGCGCCAGGCCUGCCGCCGCCGGUUUCCUGCCCCAGAGCCGCGUCCGUGACUCCAGGAGAUGGCGCUGGGCUGCGGCCCCCGUUCUGGAUUUGAUCCUGAGAGACGGGGAGGGCUGGCUUGGGGUCUUGAAGGAGUGGGCCGCUGCUCCGCUUGGGCCGCCUCUUUCCGAGUCUUCUCCACCCUACGGCUGGUCGUCCACAGCUGCUUUGGGCCCCUGCAUUGGUUUUCCUCCUCUGGCUCACCCGGCCUAGAGUAGAUGUGGAGUGGGCAGGACCUCUGGGAAGUGUGUGAGGCACAUCUGGGCACAGAGUCUAGGAAUGGGGCCCUCUGGGGCCCUGCCCACCGGCAUGAGGACAUGUCCCCCUAAGAAGACCUACCUCGGGAGGUGCCCUGCAGAGGGGACUGACGCAGCCUGGAAUUGGAGGCCGGUUCUGUGCCCCGGUGGAAAAACUCCCCGAACCAGUUGGGAGUCAUGGCCAGAGAAGAGCUCGUCCUGGCUGCCUGGCCACAGACUUCCACUCUCAUGUGGCAGCAGGAACAGUGCCUGUGUGGAGAGCCAGCUUCUCUGCGCCUGCCUGGCCCAUCAGAGACAGCAAGUAACUGGCCCAAGAGAACACAGCAAAGUCAGCAGGAGGCCUGGCUCUAGAGGCGAAGCCUUUCCCCCAGGUGUGAACCAUACUUGCAAGGCUCCACUUUCCUUUCAGAGCAAUGGUUCUUAAGACUUUGGGGGUGUGAAACCCUUGGGAAAUCUAGCAAACGAUAUGAACCUUCUCCCCAGGAAAACGCGUACUCACGGAGACACGAGAAUCUGCAAACAAUGCCAGAGCUCCUGGACUCCUGGCUGAGAAUCUCAGCCCCAGGACAGAACCUGCCACUCUUUCCUUACCUACGAUAGAUCCCUGGGUCAGGGCCACCCCACAAGUAGCAUUUCUCCCUCCCCCUGCUGAACUUCCUUCCCUCACUCAGGAAUAAAGAAUUCUGAGGAGGGGACCCUUUUAGUCGCUCUCCUCCCAGGCCUCACGGGGCCUCAGGCUCCUGGAACCUCUCUUCCCUUCCACAGACGUUGCUGGAGGCUCUCUGGGCUGGGUUCGCUCUUCUCUGAUUUGGGGUGCUUGCUCUGGCUGCUGGGUUUCACCAUGCCCAGGAUCCCUGGCCCGGGCUCUGUCUGAUCUCACCAUGAAAGUGGCGGGGAAAGCAGGGAGUUCCAUGGUGUAGGGUGUGCGUGACCUUGGGUCCACCCGGGGGGAGGGAUCCUGCUUCCCAGCAGCCAAGCCUCUGCCACACCAGGUGUUUAGCCAGGCCUGAUGUGGGGAAGGCUGAGGGGGCAGACGGAGCUUGGCUCCUGGUGCCCGCCAGCUCUGGGGCCAAGGAGCUUUCCCGAGGUCCGUGCACGGAUGUGGAGGGGCAGAGGCUGGACCACCAGCAGGGAGAGGACUUCUGUUUCCACCCUGAGCGGGUUGGCCUGGAGCUCACUGGCCUCCCCAGAACGAACCACUCAUCUGAAGAGGUGUGGCCGAUUAGGGCUGGGCUGGGGUUUCAAUGACCUCCAGAUGCAGUUCUACUUAGUGAAACCCUUGGGGGUGGGGAGAGGCCUGGAGCCAUGGAUUUAGAUCAAAUCCCAGCAAUGGGAGUUGUGGGGGGCGCUGUGGAGCGUUCUGGUGGGAGGUCCUAGGGCCCAGCUGGGCUUUGGUCAGGGUUGUCUGGAGGCCCCCCUCCCCAGCUCCUGCCCUGGGAUCUUGCCUGUCCCGUCUCCCUUGCAGCCUGCUGCAAAUCUGCCGCACACCUUGUCCUGGAAUAACAAACCGUGCUGGGGGAGAUCAGAGAAACAGGAGGCGUUCUGCACUCCAGAAGCUUCCAUUUGCUCUGAUCCUUGGCCUGCCUGGAGGGAGCCUCAGGGAGGGAGCCUCCCUGCCGAUCGUCAGCUCACCUCCCUCCAGUCUAACCACGCAGCCCUCAUGCGCUGUUGCGGCCUCUGCCUUCCCUGGUAUUGCUGUGAAAUGCGCCCCUCCCCCGUCCUCCCCAAACCCACUUCUCCACCAGGACCUCCAUCCUCUUUCUCUGAACGGUCCCUGUGUUAACUCCGUCUCACCCUCGGGGGCACAUGCCGCCUUGCACUCUGGCUUUCCAUGCGUGCGCACGUGCGUAUGUGUGUGUGUGUGUGUGUGUGUGUGUGUGUGUUGAGUCUCCAGCUAGACUGUGCGCUCCCUGAGGGCAAGGGACGUGCCAUUUCCUCUUGAACCCCAACAGGGUCCAGCACAGGGCUGGGCUCAUAACACUCAGGAAAUACUUGUCUACUGGCUGAUGGGUCAAGUGCUGGAGGCUGGAGGGUGGCUGGUGGUGGGAGGUGGCGGGUGAGUUCACACGUGGGUUGUGGGUUCGUUUCACUGAGCUGUGAGCUGGCUCCCCUGGGGCACUAAUGACUGUAGGAGACCUCAGGUCCUCCCCUACUUGGGCCAGUGGGACAGGAGGGACGCCCCCAUGGCUACGCGGGAUUGCGUGUCAAUGGUCGUCCAGGCUGGAUAUUUCUGUCGGUCACCGAUACCUGCCGGAGCUGACCAAGUGGAAUAAAUGUUCUCUCGACAUCA